CCUACGGGAGGCAGCAGUGAGGAAUAUUGGUCAAUGGACGAGAGUCUGAACCAGCCAAGUAGCGUGAAGGAUGACUGCCCUAUGGGUUGUAAACUUCUUUUAUAUGGGAAUAAAAUGUUCCACGUGUGGGAUUUUGUAUGUACCAUAUGAAUAAGGAUCGGCUAACUCCGUGCCAGCAGCCGCGGUAAUACGGAGGAUCCGAGCGUUAUCCGGAUUUAUUGGGUUUAAAGGGAGCGUAGGUGGAUUGUUAAGUCAGUUGUGAAAGUUUGCGGCUCAACCGUAAAAUUGCAGUUGAAACUGGCAGUCGUGAGUACAGUAGAGGUGGGCGGAAUUCGUGGUGUAGCGGUGAAAUGCUUAGAUAUCACGAAGAACUCCGAUGGCGAAGGCAGCUCACUGGACUGCAACUGACACUGAGGCUCGAAAGUGUGGGUAUCAAACAGGAUUAGAUACCCCAGUAGUC
rnacentral:rRNA from 1 species